rnacentral:misc_RNA from 1 species
UGCUUCUUGAUUUUUUGGAAAUGAACAAAAGUAAAUAUCCAUUGUGUUAUGCAGUACCUGCAAGAGUGCACCAGUGUGCAUGAUGCCUGUGGUUUAUGCACAUGAUGUGACCUCACCCUGCACCCACAGCUGUGACAAACUGGAAGAUAUCAUUGCACAUACAAUUCAGGACCAAGCUGCCUCCACAGCACAAGUGAAAUCCUAUUCUGGUAUUCUGCAGGUAUUGUUUGCUGCUGGGUAUCUAGGAGUGUUUAUUCAGCAGCAUUCAGAGGACUAUGCCCCAGGGUAUGAUACCCUUCUAAACCCAUGUGGAUGUGAAGAGCAGGAUGACCUGCCAGUCUUACAUGUCAUGUGGGUUAAAGUAGGAUCCACUGGGGCCAUGAACCACUUCAUUCCUCUUGUACCACGUCGUGCUCGGUCAAGACACAAGGCACAUAAGGGCAAGAGGUUCAAUCUUGAAGGUGUUGUGGAGAACUUCUGUUCUGCAUGCUUAGGGCCCUUAAAUAUGUGUCAAGCAGAUGUGUUCCACCUAGACACUUGGGUUGAAUGGGAUGUGUGUCAUGGGUGGUAUCACUGCCUAUGCACAGGCCUAUCCCAUGCAGCAGCAGAAAAGAUGAAAUAUCAGUGCUGUUCCUUGAAUUGCUCUACCAGUAUUGCCAAGCUUGAGGGGUGUACAAUAUCUGUUGGAGACAUCAAUAGAGUAAGGAACGGGGAAGACCGUUCUGGUGAUGCCAUUGACUUCUUCAUGAGACACUUGAUGAGCAAUGACAAACACCCAAAUGCCUUCAUCUGUCCAUAUUUUGUAGGCCAACUCUUCCAGGCAAACAGCUGGCUCCAUAUUCUCCAAGAUGAGGAAGCAAUUCCUUGGAUAGGAAAACAUCUACAUGCCAUUGGGAUUUCCCCAGUCAACCUACAACAUGUUGCCCUUAUAUUAACUCCUGUUUGUACAUUGUAAGUAUUAUAUGCUCAAACUACCCUCUGUACUUGGAAUAUGUGUGCAUUUUAAAAUUCCAGUGUUUCUGUUUCAGCCAACAUUAGUUUGUUCUGUAGUAGUCUGCUUAUCCAGUAACUCUUGUCAUACCUUGCUCCUGUUCAAUCUGGCCUUCUGCUUGUAAUUUGUUAAUGCUAUUUGACGGAUAAAUCUUUUAUUUACGAAUACAUGUACCUUAUUUAUUUAUGUUCAGAAACUAUCCUUGAAUAACUUCAUGUCUCUUGUUGCACUGAGUUGUCUUCUUUCUGCGUAUUGAACAUUACAUUUUUAGUUUUUUAAUUUUGUUUUUGUCCAAGAAAUCAUUGGAUUAGUCUGGUAGUUGAGGAGAAAGCCAAGAUGUUGCUGAUUCUGGAUUCUCUACCGGGUUUUCUCAGCUAUGAUACAUAUCACACUCUGCACAGAUUUGUUUGCAGAUAUCUCCAGUUGGU